GACGAGCAUCACAAACGUUGUUCGGAAUCACUGGGCGUAAAGGGCGCGUAGGCGGACUUGUAAGUCGGGAGUGAAAACUCGGGGCUCAACCCCGAGCCUGCUUCCGAAACUGCGAGUCUUGAGGACCGGAGAGGAAAGUGGAAUUCCUAGUGUAGCGGUGGAAUGCGUAGAUAUUAGGAAGAACACCAGUGGCGAAGGCGACUUUCUGGACGGUUCCUGACGCUGAGGCGCGAAAGCUAGGGGAGCAAACAGG
rnacentral:rRNA from 1 species